rnacentral:piRNA from 1 species
UCUCUAGAGACGCAGCCAGCUCAAGCU